rnacentral:misc_RNA from 1 species
GAUGAAGAACGUAGCGAAAUGCGAUAAGUAAUGUGAAUUGCAGAAUUCAGUGAAUCAUCGAAUCUUUGAACGCACAUUGCGCCCGCCAGCAUUCUGGCGGGCAUGCCUGUUCGAGCGUCAUUUCAACCCUCAAGCUCUGCUUGGUGUUGGGGCCCUACGGUUGACGUAGGCCCUUAAAGGUAGUGGCGGACCCUCUCGGAGCCUCCUUUGCGUAGUAACUAACGUCUCGCAUUGGGAUUCGGAGGGACUCUUGCCGUAAAACCCCCAAAUUUUCUAAUGGUUGACCUCGGAUCAGGUAGGAAUACCCGCUGAACUUAAGCGUAUCAAUAAGCGGAGGA